AGAGUUUGAUCAUGGCUCAGAUUGAACGUUGGCGGCAGGNUNNAUACAUGCAAGUCGAACGGUAACAGAUCGCUAGGAUCCCUUCGGGGUGACUUUGAUGCUGACGAGUGGCGGACGGGUGAGUAACGCGUAGGAAUCUACCCAGUAGCGGGGGAUAGCCCGGGGAAACUCGGAUUAAUACCGCAUACGCCCUACGGGGGAAAGGGGGCCUCUUCUUGAAAGCUCUCACUAUUGGAGGAGCCUGCGUUGGAUUAGCUUGUUGGUAGGGUAAAGGCCUACCAAGGCUACGAUCCAUAGCUGGUCUGAGAGGACGAUCAGCCACACUGGAACUGAGACACGGUCCAGACUCCUACGGGAGGCAGCAGUAGGGAAUAUUGCACAAUGGGCGAAAGCCUGAUGCAGCCAUGCCGCGUGUGUGAAGAAGGCCCUUUGGGUUGUAAAGCACUNUANUA
rnacentral:rRNA from 1 species